rnacentral:rRNA from 1 species
GUGCUUCGGAGUGCUGUCGCUGGCCUUUGGCAUGUGCACGUCUCCGGAGUCCGACGGGUGUCCCUUCGUUCUCCGAAACUCCAUACCUCUCGAACACCUCUGUGCACCCGUUGUAGGUCUCGUCGGUGGGACCUAUGUAUUCAUUAAGCUCGCAUGUAUACAGAACGUCGUCUAGUCGCGUCGUCCGGCCCAGCGUCGGCGACCGCAUUAUAAUAUAUAACUUUCAGCAACGGAUCUCUUGGCUCUCGCAUCGAUGAAGAACGCAGCGAAUCGCGAUAAGUAAUGUGAAUUGCAGAUUUUCCGUGAAUCAUCGAAUCUUUGAACGCACCUUGCGCUCCUUGGUAUUCCGAGGAGCAUGCCUGUUUGAGUGUCAUCGAAAUCUCAAAUCCUAGCUUCGCUUUGUCGGAGCUCGGUUUUGGACUUUGGGAGUCUGCGGGCGACCCUUUGCUUGGGACGUCGGCUCUCCUCAAAUGCAUUAGCGGUGGGCGCGAGCCUUUGCACGGCACGGCCUGUUCGACGUCGUAGUGAUCGUCGCGGGCUGGAAGUGCUUGGAUCGACAUGUCUCAUGCUUCCAACUCUGCACAGCUAGUUCGCUCUGCGUUCUUAAGGCUUGACCUCAAAUCAGGUAGGACUACCCGCUGAACUUAAGCAUAUCAAUAAGCGGAGGAAAAGAAACUAACAAGGAUUCCCCUAGUAACUGCGAGUGAAGCGGGAAGAGCUCAAAUUUUGAAUCUGGCGGUCUCCGGCCGUCCGAGUUGUAAUCUAGAGAAGCGUCUUCCGCGCUGGACCGUGUACAAGUCUCCUGGAAGGGAGCAUCGUAGAGGGUGACAAUCCCGUNUCCGACACGGACUACCAGGGCUAUGUGAUGCGCUCUCGACGAGUCGAGUUGUUUGGGAAUGCAGCUCAAAUCGGGUGGUAAACUCCAUCUAAAGCUAAAUACAGGCGAGAGACCGAUAGCGAACAAGUACCGUGAGGGAAAGAUGAAAAGAACUUUGGAAAGAGAGUUAAACAGUACGUGAAAUUGCUGGAAGGGAAACGCUUGAAGUCAGUCGCGUCGGCCGGGGAUCAACCCUGCUCCUUGCUGGGCGUAUUUCCUGGUCGACGGGUCAGCAUCGANUUUGUGNNUUGGAGAACGACGGCAGCGNACGUGCCACUCUUGGGAGUGUGUUAUAGCAUUCGAUAUGCUUGGCGAUGNUCGGGAUCGAGGAUCUCGGCAUGACU